UACGGAGGGGGCUAGCGUUGUUCGGAAUUACUGGGCGUAAAGCGCGCGUAGGCGGCUUUGUAAGUUAGAGGUGAAAGCCCGGAGCUCAACUCCGGAAUUGCCUUUAAGACUGCAUCGCUAGAAUCAUGGAGAGGUGAGUGGAAUUCCGAGUGUAGAGGUGAAAUUCGUAGAUAUUCGGAAGAACACCAGUGGCGAAGGCGACUCACUGGCCCGGUACUGACGCUGAGGUGCGAAAGCGUGGGGAGCAAACAGG
rnacentral:rRNA from 1 species